GACGAACGCUGGCGGCGUGCUUAACACAUGCAAGUCGAACGGUGAAGCGCCUUCCUUUUUGGUGGGUGCGGUGGAGUGGGGAACGGGUGAGUAACACGUGCGUAACCUGCCCCCUUCUUCUGGAUAACCGCAUUAAAGUGUGGCUAAUACGGGAUAUUCUGCGUCUGUCGCAUGAUGGGUCUGGUAAGGAUAUUGUUUCUGUGGGCGCUGGGCUGGCGGCCGAUCAGCUUGUUGGGGGGGUGAUGGCCUAGCAAGGCUGUGCCGGGUAGCCGGCCUGAGAGGGUGGACGGUCACACUGGGACUGCGACACGGUCCAGACUCCUACGGGAGGCAGCAGUGGGGAAUAUUGCACAAUGGGGGCAAGCCUGAUGCAGCGACGCCGCGUGAGGGACGGAGGCCUUCGGGUUGUGAACCUCUUUCGCCAGUGAAGCGGGCCUGCCUCGUUUGUGGGUGGGUUGACGGUAGCUGGAUAAGAAGCGCCGGCUAACUACGUG
rnacentral:rRNA from 1 species